rnacentral:rRNA from 1 species
AUUGAACGCUGGCGGCAGGCCUAACACAUGCAAGUCGAACGAGUGGCGGACGGGUGAGUAAUGUCUGGGAAACUGCCUGAUGGAGGGGGAUAACUACUGGAAACGGUAGCUAAUACCGCAUACCAUCGGAUGUGCCCAGAUGGGAUUAGCUAGUAGGUGGGGUAAAGGCUCCCCUAGGCGACGAUCCCUAGCGGGUCUGAGAGGAUGACCAGCCACACGGGAACUGAUACAGGUGCCAGACUCCUACGGGAGGCAGCAGUGGGGAAUAUUGCACAAGGGGCUCAAGCCUGAUGCAGCCAUGCCGCGUGUAUGAGGAAGGCCUUCGGGUUGUAAAGUACUUUCAGCGGGGAGGCUUUACCCGCAGAAGAAGCACCGGCUAACUCCGGGCCAGCAGCCGCGGUAAUAC